UCCGAGUUGGCCCCGGCAGUCUCCUACGAGUCCCCGGCAUUACCCGCUGGCAACAUAGGAUAAGGGUUGCGCUCGUUGCGGGACUUAACCCAACACCUCACGGCACGAGCUGACGACAGCCGUGCAGCACCUGUGCUCGCUCCCUCGCGGGUCAGCCGACUUUCGCCGACUUACCACGAGCAUGUCAAGCCCGGGUAAGGUUCUGCGCGUUGCGUCGAAUUAAACCACAUGCACCACCGCUUGUGCGGGCCCCCGUCAAUUCCUUUGAGUUUUAGCCUUGCGGCCGUACUCCCCAGGCGGGGCGCUUAAUGCGUUAGCUACGGCACGGGUUCCGUGGAAGGAACCCACACCUAGCGCCCACCGUUUACGGCGUGGACUAC
rnacentral:misc_RNA from 1 species